rnacentral:rRNA from 1 species
AUUGAACGCUGGCGGCAGGCUUAACACAUGCAAGUCGAGCGAGCGGCGGACGGGUGAGUAAUGUCUGGGAAACUGCCUGAUGGAGGGGGAUAACUACUGGAAACGGUAGCUAAUACCGCAUACCAUCAGAUGAACCCAUAUGGGAUUAGCUAGUUGGUGAGGUAAUGGCUCACCAAGGAGACGAUCCCUAGCUGGUCUGAGAGGAUGAUCAGCCACACUGGGACGGAGACACGGCCCAGACUACUACGGGAGGCAGCAGUGGGGAAUAUUGCACAAUGGGCGCAAGCCUGAUGCAGCCAUGCCGCGUGUAUGAAGAAGGCCCUAGGGUUGUAAAGUACUUUCAGUCGGGAGGCGUUACCGACAGAAGAAGCACCGGCUAACUCCGUGCCAGCAGCCGCGGUAAUUC